rnacentral:lncRNA from 1 species
GCAGCGUCUGUGCAUCCAAACAUGGGCAGCUUCCACAUGGUCCAGUACCUUCCAUCAUAGUACCCUGGUGACCUGGCGUUCUCACGGUACACAAAUCCAUGCUGCAUUCCAAACAUAUAUACAUACCUAUCAGUACAUCUUCAUCUUCAACAAUUUCAUUAUUUCAUAAAUGAAAAAAGAGAGAGUAGACAACCUCCAACUCAAAUUCCAAGCAAGGAAUCCAUCCAGAGCGGAGAAGGUAUUCAACUUCCUUUGCCAAUGAUUCAUCGGUUAGAGAAGGCAGGUAAGAGAGAGUCUCGAACUUCUUCUUCCCAAUUGGAGGCCAGACCUGAACUCAACAAAUUCCAAUAAAUUAGAAAUGUGUAAGAAUGUAAAAGAACAAUUGAAAUUACCCAGAGAAGAGAAAAGAAAAGAAAAGAAAAAACAGUACCUGCAUGCAUUGAACUUUUCCACCAUUGCUGGCUACGGAGGUAAUAUCAUUGUUGAGCUUGCGGGUAACUGGGAAGGCUGAGGAUGAUUUAAGGCCAGUAAAGGGUGCGACCAUGCUAGCCUGAGCCGCGGUGGCUCGGUUAACGGACGACACAGCUGCUGAUGGAACCAUGGAGGAAGCCAUUGCCCUUUCUACUUCUUAAUUUGCUGCUAUCUACUACUGUUUGGUGGUCAGUUUGAGAGGCCUUCUUAUUGCUGCUUCCUCCGCUAUAAAUAGGCCAAUGCAUGCUUGUUUACUUCCUUCCAAAUCUGGCGGCUAAAAUUCAUUCAGUAAUUUCUUGGACAUUUAUGGGCCGUUAGAUUGACAUUACACUAUGAUGGCCACAUAAAUAAGAGAUCUGAUAGCCUUAUCGGUAAGCACGUCACAGCUUCUGCCACGUGGCAGUGAAUUAUUAUCUUACUUCCUAUGAUCAAUUAGGGCUUCAAUUUGUGGUGUUGGUCAAGCCUUUGAUUGUCCCUUCAUUUCUGAGUUACGCGUAUGUGUUAGGGGACCUUUAAGUGAACUUUUGUCUGAUCAAAUUAGCAUUAACAAUGCUUUAAUAACCUGAAUUAGUCUAACUAAUUUUAACUAUAAUCAUGAACGAAAAAAAAAAUUGAGAUAAAUGGGUAAUUUAACUUGAAACUAUUUUACAUCACAUGUAAACAUAAUAAACUAUAUCUUUAUAAUGUAGUAAGAAAAUUUCAUCAAUUUACUAAUUUUCUAUAUGAUGCUAAAACAAUUCUAAUAUAUCACAAUUAACAUUCUAUCUACUUCAAUUUUGAACAAUAAAAUACUUAGUUUUCAGGAACACACAUAUAAUUUUAUAAUGUCAACAAAUUAAUGUUUAAUGAGACCAAAUAUUUCUCCAUAACUACUAUAAUUUUUAGUAAUCUUUUAGGAUACACUAGUAUUCAUUCAAAUUGUUUACCGUGAUUGUGAUUAGGAAUAUUUAUAAGCUAUGUUUAAAGUCAAUAUAUUAUGUUAUUGUAAUCUCAUAUAAAUACAUUGGUAUACACAAUCUACUACAUAUUUAUCAUUUUGAAGUAAUUUAUGAAAUAAUUUUUUACUUUAAAUUAGUACAAGAUGUUGAGUGGAAAAAAAGAGAUUACACCAAUAGUGGCCCAACUACAUUUAAUGUGACUUUAUUGUUGGUCACACACUAUUAAAAAGAAGAAAAAAAAAGAAAGAAAAGGAGGAUUGAAGCCCAAAGGAAAAAGUUCAAGACCCAAUAGCCCUCUAAAUUAAUCAAUCCCAACAUGUUUUCAAAUUUCGAAAGCCUACUCAAGAUAGCCUCUUAAAUCAAUGCAGCCCAAAAAUAAGUUACCCUUCCUAGCUCUUCAAUCCAUCGGCCCAUACAUAAACCCAAUGCUACCUCCAGAUAUCCAAAAUGUCGCCCCGUUUUAUUUUCAAUUUCUUUUCUUCCUUCUUUCGACUACAGGAAUUGAGAGGGAGAUGGCCUUAAGUUUGCUUCUUUUAUCUGAAAACGAAAACGGAGAGGAACAGACAGCGCUCGUGCUGACAACAGAGAGGAUUGAGGCGCUUGGCGAGAGAGAGGAAGACGUCAAGACGUAGGAAAAAGUGGGAACGUUCCAUGUGAGUAGCAGUUGAAUAGAAGCCGGAACCAAAAAGACAAGUGGCGCUGUUGGUAUCAGAGCAGGCUGUGUUUUGACUCAAGGUAGAAAUAGAGCGGAUCAAUUCCUCGGUCUGUGGAUAAAAAAAAGAGAACCCAGAAUGAGAUGGAGGAGUCGGUGAAGUAAGGAGGAGAUUUUUGGGCAUCCUUGAGCAGAAAACAAGAGUAGGCUUGGGGAAGAAAAUUGCAAAAAAGGCUGAGGAGAAGAGGAUUAAGGGCUCGAGGCGAGUUGGAUAAAAACCCAACGCGGGUGAUGUAGGUCUGCCCUCUUCUCUCCCUUUCGCAAAUUAUUUUGAUCAUUCUUUAGUUAUUGAAGAUGAUUGGAACCUGAUGUGACUUGGAUAAAUGUUUUUUCUUUUCUGUUGUCUUUUAGAAUGCAUUCGCAUUAACUGUUUGGUAAAAUGACUAAAAGAAAUUUGUUGACGAGGUACUGUAAAACGGUUUUAUUUUUGUUUCAUAUUGUCAAUCCCCCAUAUAUUAUCUAACUUGAACUUCGAUGUUUCCCGCUUUAAGAAAAAAAAUAAUGGUUAGAAUGAACUGGCAUCUUUUGAUUAAGUUUGAGAUACAUUCUGCUACUUACCCAUCUGUUUAAGGAUUUCUUAAUGCUUCAUGAUGGCUCUUGAUUAAUCAUUAACAGCAAGAAUGUACAUAUAGGUUUAGAGACAUUAGGAAUUGAACAGAACAGUGAUGCAUAUUUGGUUUUGUUGGCAUGAUGUUUCUGUAUUUGGAUCAGUUUUAUAUACUUCUAAUUGCUCUUAACGUUAUGGUUGAAGGAUUACAUGCACGGUGUCUCCUGUACUAUAUUUCUGUGCUUCUGUUGAUGCUUUUGGUUAAUUCCGAAUUCAUCAUGCUCAUGCCUUCAUUUCCAUAAUUUACUAGUCGUGACUUGGACACCUUUCAUUGGCCACUCCUUUGACUUACUGUUAGACUGUGUUUCUUCCUCUUGCAUGGCAUGAUACCAUUAUGUUUGGAUUGCUAAAUGUUGCUUGUCGGACUAAAUGUGAGUCUUUAAGUUUAUAUGUGCAUUUACUGACCUUCUGCAAGGGGCCUUCCUAUUGGAGCUUUUUGCUUCUCACUUACUAUGAGAUUUUUGCUUAUUGUAUUGGAUUCCAGGUAUACUGGUUUGCUUUUUGAUUCACUGUUGGAGUUUUGCUCUAUACAUAUAUGAUUAUUAAAUGGUAUGUUGCAUGCUUGGGCUUUCUGCAUGUAGAUUAAUACUUUUGAUAAAGCAUAUAGUGAAUUCCAUGAUAUGAUGUGAUAAACAGAUUGGAUGAUGAUUUUAGGCUACUAUUUGUUUCGCUGUUGUUUUUAUCAAAGGACCAGUUACUGCAGUCAGGCUACUACUUUUAAUUUAGUAAGCAACAAAGAAGCAGUGGCAUGAGAUUAAUAAAUUGGAUAAGCCAUUUAAAUUUUUUACAUUUGAUAAGGACUAAGGAAAUGAUAGAAAGAAAUAAGAUAAACAUAAAAAAGAAGAAAAUGAAUAAAAAUUCAGCAAUCACUGGAAGGGUACAUUGGACUUGCAAAUCAGGAAACGUCAGAAGGCCUUUUGGAAUGAAGGGGCAAUAGAUUUUUGUUAUGUAUUUUUCCCUUUUUGUUUUAUUUCUCCUUUUUAUCUUGAUUUAUUUCUGAUCCCUCAUUCCCAAUAAUAUUUCAAAUAUUGUAGCUCGUGAUUUUUUAUUUAUGUAUGAAUGAUAAUAUCAGGAACUUGCAUUACAGAUAGGAGGGUACUAUUUAUGUGUAUACAAAACAUGUACGCCUUCUUAUUCUGGAUCACUUUGAACUUUAAAUCUCUGAUUUUGAUAGUUGCUUAUUUUUUUCUAAAUUUUUAAUUUUAUAUUUUUUUGGAGCUUGGUCUUGCAUUACUGUUUUGACUCAAAUCAUUUUUAUGAACGACACUUUAAUUCUUCUAUAAUAUUUUGUUAAAAUCUGUGAGUUCUUAGUAAAUUCUGAACCAAAUUCAUAUGAUAUUAAUAGCAAAAAGAGUUGUCCAAUAUGUACAUAAAUCAUUGUAGAUCUAUAUAUUUGCUUGAUGUGGGAUUACAUUACUAAAUAUUCUCUCUUGAAUGGAGCAUGGACUCCUUAUGCGGAGGAUGUUCUUAAAGCAGUCAAGGUACAAACAGAAUACCUCCCCUCAUGCAGCAAGUAUGUGAGCGUAUAAACAUAAGUAUAAAAGAAUUAGCUUUCAUGUAAGUUUCAUUCAAAAUCAUGUGACAUUGUGAAGAAUUGCUGAAAAUGAAACGGCCCGUGAGGAAAUAAAUUAUGAAUUGAAUGCAGAAGUAAAAUAAUAAAUUAUGGUUCACAUUCCUUACAAAAUAAUUCGAAAUAACCAAUAGAGAUAUAAUGACUAUUAUAAAAGAACAAUUAAUAAUUAAAGAAAUAAAUAAAAAAUGAACAAACUAAACAUCCUACUCGCAACGCUCUUGUGAAUCGGAUUUUAAAUCUUGAUACUCUUGAUCUGAAAUGGUUAAUAAAAGAGUGAGUUACACUAGUGCAGUAAGAAUAUCACACUACUCAACAUAUAGAAAUGAAAGUUGGUAGAAAUUAUAAAAAUAACUAAUGGAGUUCUUAAUUUAAGUAAAAUUUAUUUAUCAUAAUAAAUCAUUACCGUAUACUACCGUACGAGAUUANNNNNNNNNNNNNNNNNNNNNNNNNNNNNNNNNNNNNNNNNNNNNNNNNNNNNNNNNNNNNNNNNNNNNNNNNNNNNNNNNNNNNNNNNNNNNNNNNUCAUCCCUCAAUACUUCAUCUGGUAUGAGUGUGAACGAGUUGUCCUAAUAUCCCGUCCGGUAUGAGUGUUAAAUUACCAAUUCUCGAUACGUUGUACGGUAUGAGGUAACGUUCACGGUAAGGUUCCUUAUGUACCCAAUCCAUCCACCAUCUCUCAAGAUAUCCACUAAGAUUACAAUUUAUUCAUUCACUUAAUCAAACAAUUUCUCGUUUACCUUUAAUUUUCAGUUUCUCAAUUAACUAUAAAUCACGUAAAACAAGCAAAACAUGCAUCAAGAAAACACAAUCGAAUUAUUAUACUAAUUCCAGUGUAUUAUCAUGUAUUCAAAAUUGUAAAAUCAAUCAAUCAGCGAAAUAUGAUAAACAGUAAUAAAUAACUGAUUCCGACUCCAUUAGUAACAUUUAAUUAUCGAUAUUUUUAAAUUACGUAAAAUACCAUAUUAUUUACAAUUAAAAUUCAAUUUCAUAACCGGGAAUAAAGUGAGGGAUUCUUACUCAAAAUUGAUGUCUGAAAUGCUAGAUUUUCAACUGCGCCUACUGGCAGUCUCCAAGUUCCCUAAAUUUUUUUUCGGGGAUUAAAACACGCUUCAAGUACCUAAAAAUACUCCAAAAAAUUCAAAAUCAGUGUUAAAAAUCUCUUUUGGCCAAUUCUGGAAUUCCAGCACGGCGACUCCGCUGCCCGCGGCAGUUUACCUCGGGUUAGCCAUUUUCGGCCAAUUUUGUAUCAAUCCCUGCGAGAAAAUAUGUUAAGCGGCAUCAGUUGUUUGAAAAAAGUUAAAAAUCGAAACUUACUGGCGGCAGAGUUUUCUGAUGCAGUGGCUCCGCCGGCUCACCUUCGCGGUUGGGUGUUUUGCUUUGAUCAACCUAUAGAAAAAGGAAUGGUGAUUACAAUGGUGAAAAAAUUAUACGAAACGGAAAUCGGAAAGUGCCUCAUCGGAGGUGGUUUUUGUUUUUUUCUCGUGGUGGCGUCGCUGGGCUUUACCUAUGGUUUCAAGCUCAUUCGCCUAUCAUUUUGCUUCGAUUUGGUCAUGAAGGUGUUCAAAAUUGAAUUUCGAGUGAAUGAGAAAAACUUUACCUCUUUUGGCAGUCGGAAGUGGCUCCGCGCGAUGGGAGGCGCCGGUCGGCUCCCUUCCCGGCGAUUGGCUCUUCUUCUUCGGCGGGGGGUCUAGUGGCUAGGGUUUGGGUUUGGUGUGAAGAGGGGUAUUUAUAUCCGUCUCCUUUUAAUCUGGCUUAUCUAUCGUGUUUGAUCUAAACCGUCCGAUUGCGUUUAAAUAGGAAGUGAAUCUGGACCGUUCAUCGCAAGUUGAUCUUGGCCAUCCGAUCAUAUUUAAAUAAGAAAUAGAUAUGGACUGUUCAUUGAGUUUAAUCGCGACCAUCUGAUCGCGUCUGAGGAGGGAUUAGAUCCGGACCGUCUACGCACGCGGGAACAAAUCUGAAUCGUCCGAUCGCAGGCACGCGGAUCGCCAGUGUGGCCUCCCGCAUGACACCGCGUCAGUGUGUCUUGCAACAUGGUGCACUCUGAUUCGUCGGGACUGCUGACUGAGCAUCCUACAUGACACAUUUUUUUUAAAUUAAGUUUUAAUCAUCAGUUUCUGAUUUUUCUUUCAAAAAUACCUACAGAAUCCAAAUUUUCAUUUCAUUUUUUCAAAAUUAUUUUCAAUUUCAUUCUCCACCUAUUUUUUUUUUCUAAUUUUACAUUAAAUAAUAAUUUAUAAAAUUAAAAAUUAAAUUUUAUACAUAAAUUUUAAAUAUUACAAAUUAAUUUCAGAUAUUACAGAAAAUGACACUUAAAAGAUCAUUUAUCUUGCAUAUGCACAGAAAAAAUUAGAUUUCUAGAAUAAAAAUUAGAGAGAAACUAGCAUUUGUUUUUGCCCAUAUUUAAGAUUGUGGAAGCCAUUCCUUUCCGUGAAAGUCGCGCAUGCUGUGAAGAAGAAACCAUAAGCGUCCUGACCCACUGUAUUUAAACUCAUUAUGUUGAAGAGAUUAAAGUUAUGAGGUAUAAUCUCCAUAUGCAAGAGACCUUGAAUAUUGAUGAGAGAUGGCGAGAAAGAGAUGGUAGUAAUAAUUGUGAAAAGGAGAAUUAGUAUAGAUGAUAAAAGGACAUUAUCUCAUAUAAUGUAGGUUUACUCUUUUAUGUACAUUUGGCCCUUCCAUCAUUCAUUCAUUUAUUCAUCAUACCGCAAAAACUGAAAAGGAAAAUUUAGAAACCAGGGGGUUUGUAGGCAAUAAAACUGAUGCACUGCACUUGACGCUUGUUGUCGAAUCCGAUAAUGCGAAUGAAUGAGUUGGGGUAAGCCUUCUUGGCCUCCUCAAGCUCCUUCAACACUUGAGCAGCGUCUGUGCAUCCAAACAUGGGCAGCUUCCACAUGGUCCAGUACCUUCCAUCAUAGUACCCUGGUGACCUGGCGUUCUCACGGUACACAAAUCCAUGCUGCAUUCCAAACAUAUAUACAUAUAUAUACAUACCAUAUUUAUCAGUUCAUCUCCAUCUUCAACAAUUUCAUUAUUUCAUAAAUUUCUAAAAAGAGAAAAGAGAGAAAGAGAGAGUAGAAAACCUCCAACUCAAAUUCCAAGCAAGGAAUCCAUCCAGAGCGGAGAAGGUAUUCAACUUCCUUUGCCAAUGAUUCGUCGGUUAGAGGAGGCAGGUAAGAGAGAGUCUCGAACUUCUUCUUCCCAAUUGGAGGCCAGACCUGAACUCAACAAUUUACAAUUUUAAAAGCUUCAAUCAACUGCCUGCAGUUUAUUGAGUAUAAUUUAUAAAUGCCUAUGUAUGUGUGUGUGUGUGUAUAU